CAGGGAGACAACAAAAUGUUUAAUAUUAUUAUUUUGUCACCUUAGGUCGAUCGGUAUCUCACGUUCUUAAUUUAUUAAGAAUUUCAUUUCCUAAGUUUUUCUAGGUCACACCCAUCAUUUUCCUGGGCCAUUAGCUCAGGUGGUUAGAGCGCACCCCUGAUAAGGGUGAGGUCCCUGGUUCAAGUCCAGGAUGGCCCAUAUCUCUAUGUUGGGGGUAUAGCUCAGUUGGUAGAGCGCCUGCUUUGCAAGCAGGAUGUCAGCGGUUCGAGUCCGCUUACCUCCACUGAUUACCACCUCUUCCAUAAUCUAUAGAAAGGAAAAAUUUUGAGUUGUGAUCAAAAUUCUGAACGAAUCUAGCUUCCUAAUGAAACCAUUAAGAUGCUGGACUCAUUGAAUUAAUUUCAUUGUUUUCAGAGAACCUUGACAACUGCAUAGAUUAUUUUUAAAGACAAUAAGCAUCUUUAAUGAUGCAGAUUUAUUAUUUGUGCAAAUGCAUUAAUAACAAUUCUAUUAAGCUGAUGCUUCAAUUAUGAAGUUAUU
rnacentral:tRNA from 1 species